CUUGACAUGGUGUUUAAGGCCCUAGAGAUAGGAGAUAAUAAGCACACACAGGUGGUGCAUGGUUGUCGUCAGCUCGUGUCGUGAGAUGUUGGGUUAAGUCCCGCAACGAGCGCAACCCUUGUCUUUAGUUACCAUCAUUAAGUUGGGGACUCUAGAGAGACUGCCGGUGAUAAACCGGAGGAAGGUGGGGAUGACGUCAAAUCAUCAUGCCCCUUAUGACCUGGGCUACACACGUACUACAAUGGCGCAUACAACGAGCUGCGAGAUGGUGACAUCAAGCGAAUCUCUUAAAAUGCGUCUCAGUUCGGAUUGGAGUCUGCAACUCGACUCCAUGAAGUCGGAGUUGCUAGUAACCGCAGGUCAGCUAUACUGCGGUGAAUACGUUCCCGGGGCUU
rnacentral:rRNA from 1 species